UUGCAUCAAAGUGCCCGAACAAAACGUUAUCACUUGCACAGACUGUCUGCGAAGAAAGCUUUAUGAGGGAACACGGCCUCGUCCUUCCCCCCGAAUAUGUGAACAAAGAGGCGAACAAAUGGUACUGCUGUAUGAUGCAGUACAGCCAGAACUGUCUUCAGGACACGCUGAAACAACAAGGAUGCGAUUCCGAAGACUUUUUGCAGGGGUUCACUCGGAAAGUUGAGACUCAAUGUGGAACGUCCAAGUCGUUCUGCUCUGCUCAGUGUAAUAACAACACGUUAUCCCAUGCCCAGUUUGCGUGCAGCGAGAGAUAUAUGCAGAUCCAUGUGCUGAAUCCUG